rnacentral:lncRNA from 13 species
AUGCUGGAGGGGAGGGGAACGGAGGGGACGCGAGAGAGCGGCCCAGCCUGCCGGCCUGACCCCGCUGCCGGGGACGUCCGGCGCCUCCCGCCGGUAGAAGCCUUCCUCCCGCGCCCGCUUUCGGGGCUCCGCGCCCCCGCCCCACGUCCCCCAAAAGAGCCUCCCCGGCGCGGCGACACCUGCCCCAGGCAGGAGGCUGCUGACGGCAACCCAUUGUGCGGACUCAUCGUCCGCUGCCCACCCGGGCGCACGAGCCGCAAGCCGGGGUCCCGGCGUCCCGGGGUCUGGGCGGGGGUCCCAGGGCCCGCAGCUCACCCGCACGCCCGGGCACCACCAGGGUCUGAGGCGGCCGGGCCUCCCUCGGUCUGGCUCCAGAGCCCCCGGCGGCGGCCCGGUCUCCCUCAGGCUGGACCCGGAGCCAUCGGCGGCGGCCCGGCCUCCCUUAAGCUGGCCCCGGAGCCCCCGGCGGCCGCCCGGCCUCCCUCGGUCUGGCCCCGGAGCCCCACGGCGCCGGUCCGGUCUCCCUCAGGCUGGCCCCGAAGCCAUCGGCGGCGGCCCGGCCUCCCGCAGGCUGGCCCGGGAGCUCCACGGCGGCCAGAGGCCGGCCUGCCCAGGCCCGCGCCCACCCAGCCGAGGGGCCGCCCCGCGCCCUCCCUCCCCGCCGCCUGCCCGCGGUACCUGCCGAGGCUGCCGGGCGGCGCGGCGGCCGGCGGGGGCGCCUCUCCUCUGGCUCCGAGGGGCUGCGGGCGGCUGCCGAGCGCCGGGCGGCCCUGGCCUGCGCCUUACGUAAAGCGGCGGCGGCGGCCCCAGCGCCACUCGGCGGAGGGCGGGAGGCGGCGCGCCGGGAGCCGCUCCGCUCCGUUACCCGGCAACUGGCCUCAGCGCCCCGCCAACCAGGGGCGCGCUCCAUAUCCUUCCGCCCGGGUGCCGGGAUUACAUCAGCGCCGGCCGGGCCCCGCCCCUGCCCCUCCCUCCGGCGGAGCCGCGGGCGCGCGCGGGCUGUGGGCCACAGGCUGA